AAUUUUGUCGAAAAUUUAAAUUAGAAUAAUUUUCAUUAAUCAGACAAGAAGAGCUUUUUUUUAUUAUUAUUAUUACAUUUUAUUUAUUUAUAAUUUACGGGCAAUAAACAAUUGGGAAAUUUUUAUUAUUUAGUUGGGAAUUCCACAAAAAAUCGGAACUUCACUCAACAAUUUGUACAGUAAAACGUACAAAUGCCUUCCACUUGAAGUUGCUGCUAGAAAAUGAAUAUUUGCGGUUAGUCUUGUAUUUUCGUACUCUUUGCCGACAGAUCUGCCAAAUGAUCAGGUGUCAUCAAUGGUCAUCACUAGAAAAGUUUGUUUUGAUCGGUUGGUUUUUUCGAUAGCGGCUUUUGUAAAUUCUUCAAUGUUUUAGAAAUAAUUCCGAGUGUUAAAAUAAUUAAAUGUGUUCGGGAAUUAAAUGUUAAAGUGAUUGAUAAAAGGAUUAUGCAAUCAAUUGCAGUUAUUAUACGAAAGACAGCAACUACGAACAGAGGAGACAUUAUAAAGAGGAAUUCAACAAUCUUUGUCCGGAAUAUAAACAAUUAUAAAAAUACGUUAACAGUAAAAGUCGAUAUUAUAAGUGGCAGCAGCAAUAUAAUAUAGUGAAAGCUCAGGGGAAUUUUCAAGAACUCAAGAUAAAAAUAAAAAUUUUUAAAGAUUACAAUAUGAAUAACGAUCCGGUCUUCAAGCAACGUAACACGAGACACGAUUAUUUGCAUGGAAAAUUGACUCACUUAAAGAAUUUGGUCGAAGAAUUUGAUACGAAGCAUUUCGGUGUUAAUGGUAACAAGACAAGAUUUUGAAGAAGAAAAAUAUUUGUUUAAUUGAAAAUUGUUGGAUAGAAAAUUAAUUUGGCUUAAUAUAUAAAAUAUGAAAAAAAUUUAAUAAACAUUAAUAGAUUUAAAGAAGUUAAUUUCAGAAAUAAAUAAAAAAAGAACAAUAAACGAAAUUAAACACAAGAAAAUAC